rnacentral:rRNA from 1 species
UACAGAGGGUGCGAGCGUUGUCCGGAAUCACUGGGCGUAAAGGGCGCGUAGGCGGCUUUUCAAGCGUGCGGUGAAAGCUCGGGGCUUAACUCCGAGUCUGCCGUGCGAACUGGGAGGCUUGAGUCUGGUAGAGGUCGAUGGAAUUCCGAGUGUAGCAGUGAAAUGUGUAGAUAUUCGGAAGAACACCAGUGGCGAAGGCAGCAACUUGGCCCCAGAUUGACGCUCAGGCACGAAAGCAUGGGGAUCAAACAGG